GUGGGGAAUAUUGGACAAUGGGCGAAAGCCUGAUCCAGCCAUGCCGCGUGUGUGAAGAAGGUCUUCGGAUUGUAAAGCACUUUAAGUUGGGAGGAAGGGCAGUAAGUUAAUACCUUGCUGUUUUGACGUUACCGACAGAAUAAGCACCGGCUAACUUCGUGCCAGCAGCCGCGGUAAUACGAAGGGUGCAAGCGUUAAUCGGAAUUACUGGGCGUAAAGCGCGCGUAGGUGGUUUUGUAAGUUGGAGGUGAAAUCCCCGGGCUCAACCUGGGAACUGCCGCCAAAACGGCAUGACUAGGGUACGGUAGAGGGUAGUGGAAUUUCCUGUGUAGCGGUGAGAUGCGUAGAUAUAGGAAGGAACACCAGUGGCAGAGGCGACUACCUGGACUGAUACGGACACUGAGGUGCGAAAGCGUGGGGAGCAAACAGGAUUAGAAACCCGGGUAGUCC
rnacentral:rRNA from 1 species